GAUGAACGCUAGCGGCAGGCUUAAUACAUGCAAGUCGAGGGGUAGCAAGAUUGUAGCAAUACAAUUGUUGACGACCGGCAAACGGGUGCGGAACACGUACACAACCUUCCUACAAGUGGGGAAUAGCCCAGAGAAAUUUGGAUUAAUACCCCGUAACAUAGCGAUGUGGCAUCACAUUGCUAUUAUAGCUUCGGCGCUUGUUGAUGGGUGUGCGGCUGAUUAGAUAGUUGGCGGGGUAACGGCCCACCAAGUCUACGAUCAGUAGCUGAUGUGAGAGCAUGAUCAGGCACACGGGCACUGAGACACGGGCCCGACUACUACGGGAGGGAGCAGUAAGGAAUAUUGGACAAUGGACGCAAGUCUGACCCAGCCAUGCCGCGUGAAGGAUUAAGGUCCUCUGGAUUGUAAACUUCUUUUAUAAGGGACGAAAAAAGGUCUUUCUAGAACGUCUGACGGUACCUUAUGAAUAAGCACCGGCUAACUCCGUGCAGCCGCCGCGGUAAGAC
rnacentral:rRNA from 1 species